CCCGCCACUAUGCUAGUCUGUGUGAGUGACUCGGUAUAAUCCAGUGGAGGCUGAGAGAAACCCAGCUCUAGGAAGCAGGGCUGCCCAGUCUGAUGGGUAACUCUGUGCCGAAAGGCCUGGAACACAC
ensembl:snoRNA SNORA65 Small nucleolar RNA SNORA65